rnacentral:rRNA from 1 species
CCCUUAGAUGUCCUGGGCUGCACGCGCGCUACACUGAUGUGUCCAGUAAGCACCUAACCUCUUCCGAAAGGAACGGGUAACCUUUGCAAAGCACAUCGUGAUGGGGAUAGAUUAUUGCAAUUAUUAGUCUUGAACGAGGAAUUCCUAGUAAGCACAAGUCAUCAGCUUGUGUUGAUUACGUCCCUGCCCUUUGUACACACCGCCCGUCGCUCCUGCCGAUUGAAUGUUCCGGUGAGCUCUUCGGACUGCGCGGUCUGCAGUUUCUGCGUUCCGUGCGGAAAGUUGCGCAAACCUUAACAUUUAGAGGAAGGAGAAGUCGUAACA